rnacentral:rRNA from 1 species
GACGAACGCUGGCGGCGUGCUUAACACAUGCAAGUCGAACGGUAAGGCUCCAGCUUGCUGGGGUACACGAGUGGCGAACGGGUGAGUAACAUGUGGGUGACCUGCCCUGCACUUCGGGAUAAGCCUGGGAAACUGGGUCUAAUACCGGAUAGGACCGCACCGUGAGGGUGUGGUGGAAAGUUUUUUCGGUGUGGGAUGGGCCCGCGGCCUAUCAGCUUGUUGGUGGGGUAAUGGCCUACCAAGGCGGCGACGGGUAGCCGGCCUGAGAGGGUGGACGGCCACAUUGGGACUGAGACACGGCCCAGACUCCUACGGGAGGCAGCAGUGGGGAAUAUUGCACAAUGGGCGGAAGCCUGAUGCAGCGACGCCGCGUGGGGGAUGACGGCCUUCGGGUUGUAAACUCCUUUCACCAUCGACGAAGGGUUUCUGACGGUAGAUGGAGAAGAAGCACCGGCUAACUACGUGCCAGCAGCCGCGGUAAUACGUAGGGUGCGAGCGUUGUCCGGAAUUACUGGGCGUAAAGAGCUCGUAGGUGGUUUGUCGCGUCGUCUGUGAAAUUCCGGGGCUUAAUUCCGGGCGUGCAGGCGAUACGGGCAUAACUUGAGUACUGUAGGGGAGACUGGAAUUCCUGGUGUAGCGGUGAAAUGCGCAGAUAUCAGGAGGAACACCGGUGGCGAAGGCGGGUCUCUGGGCAGUAACUGACGCUGAGGAGCGAAAGCAUGGGGAGCGAACAGGAUUAGAUACCCUGGUAGUCCAUGCCGUAAACGGUGGGCGCUAGGUGUGGGUUUCCUUCCACGGGAUCCGUGCCGUAGCUAACGCAUUAAGCGCCCCGCCUGGGGAGUACGGCCGCAAGGCUAAAACUCAAAGGAAUUGACGGGGGCCCGCACAAGCGGCGGAGCAUGUGGAUUAAUUCGAUGCAACGCGAAGAACCUUACCUGGGCUUGACAUAUACAGGAUCGCGCCAGAGAUGGUGUUUCCCUUGUGGCUUGUAUACAGGUGGUGCAUGGUUGUCGUCAGCUCGUGUCGUGAGAUGUUGGGUUAAGUCCCGCAACGAGCGCAACCCUUGUCUUAUGUUGCCAGCACGUUGUGGUGGGGACUCGUAAGAAACUGCCGGGGUUAACUCGGAGGAAGGUGGGGAUGACGUCAAAUCAUCAUGCCCCUUAUGUCCAGGGCUUCACACAUGCUACAAUGGUCGGUACAGUGGGUUGCCAGUCCGUGAGGGCGAGCUAAUCCCGCAAAGCCGGUCUCAGUUCGGAUCGGGGUCUGCAACUCGACCCCGUGAAGUCGGAGUCGCUAGUAAUCGCAGAUCAGCAACGCUGCGGUGAAUACGUUCCCGGGCCU